rnacentral:rRNA from 1 species
GAUGAACGCUGGCGGCGUGCCUAACACAUGCAAGUCGAACGGACGGACGUGCAUCUCGUUUCGCUUAUGUUAUCGUCGAACGGGGGAGUGACGAGUAGAUCACCUACCUAUAGUCCUCGGAUUACUUCUAAAAACCGGAGCCAAUACCUAAUUAUCUUUUGAACCGCAGGGUGCAAAAUUUAAUGACAGUCUUUCUUUCACUGAUAGAUGAUUCCGCGCUGCAUUAUCUUGUUGGUGAGGUAACGGCGUACCAAGGAGACGACGCGUAGGCGACGUGAGAGGGUGAUCGGCCACAGUGAAACUGAGACACGGUCCAGACUCCGACGGGAGGGAGAAGUAGGGGAUAUUACGAAAGGGGCGAAAGCGUAACGCAGCAGCGCCGAGUGAGUGAUGAAGGUGUCGGGAUCGUAAAACUAUGUUAUUAGCGACGAAGAGAUGUGUAAGUAAGUGGGAGGGUCUUGACGGUAGCUAAAGAAGAAGCAACGGCUAACUACGUG